rnacentral:lncRNA from 1 species
ACCCACUCUCCGUCUCGUAAGCAGGAAUACGGGAGGCCGGAAGGGUUACUGCAGAGGCUGCAGCCUUGAUCCGUCGUGAUCCUAGGUGCAACGGCCGUGCCCUUGGUCUGCAGCAAUUGAUUUGGCAAACACAUUUUUCUCUUUUUUCUUUCUGCCCGGCCUUCCAGGAGCUGUUGACUGAACGGCCUCAGCUCAGCUUCGAGGUCGAGAUAGAGAAUCGAGACCUGGGCUUCCUGGGUUCAAAGUCCAGCUCCUCCCGAUUAUUAGUUGAGUGAAAGUUAGUUAGUCUUUCUGAGCUUCAGUUUUAUAAUAGCACUAGUGCCUGCUUCGUAGAGGUUUUGACUGUGAGCUGAGAGAAUGGAUUAAAGUGCCUGCGUCGUCAAAAAAAUGCCAUCAAUAAAUCACACCACUUUUACAUAGUAACUCUUUACUUCUAUGGCACCUUUCAUUCUGCCAGGAUCUCAGCUUCCUUCACCUUUGCUUGUUCCCACCAUGGACACCACACUGAUCCACCCUGUGGAAAAGGAAGUGGCAAGCCCCCUGAGUACUUUGACGUGUGAGAUAGGACCUGGGAACUACAAGUCCCCCUAACCCUAGAGAAUCUAGUGCCAGGAAGAGAGAGGGAAGAAGACGGUGUGUUUGGAGGGGAUGGUGGUGAGAUCAGACAGCCCCAUCUUUUCUACUGCUCUUUGAAACCAUCGUUAAAAAUAUGAAAAACUAAUCACAAAUUAAGAAAAAAUAUUUGCAACGCACAUAUUUGUCAAAGGACUUGUAUCCUGAAUAUAUAAAGGACUGAACAGAAUAUAAGUAUAUAAAGAAUAUAGGGCUUCCCUGGUGGUGCAGUGGUUGAGAACCCACCCGCCAGUGCAGGGGACACGGGUUCGGGCCCUGGUCCGGGAGGAUCCCACAUGCCAUGAAGCAGCUGGGCCUGUGCACCACAACUACUGAAGCCCGCACACCUAGAGCCCGUGCUCCACAACAAGAGAAGCCACCACGAUGAGAAGCCCAUGCACCANNNNNNNNNNNNNNNNNNNNNNNNNNNNNNNNNNNNCGCACCACAACAAAGAGUAGCCCCCGCUUGCCGCAACUAGAGAAAGCCCGCACACAGCAACAAAGACCCAAUGGAACCAAAAAUAAUAAAUAAAUUUAAAAAAAAAAGAAUAUAAAGAAUUCAACAAUAAGACAAACCCAGUUUUUAAAAGUGGGCAAAUAAUUUGAACCCACACUUCACAACAGUUUUUUCAGUUUAUUAUUUGUAUCUCCCAGUUUUGCAAUCACGUCGUCCUUGGUUCUAGAGUGCCUCUGGGUUAACACUGCAAAGGGACCAGCUGAGCCCAUUUUAUACGGACCCUCACGCAACAGUACAACUGUGAAAUCAUCUGUGGCUCCCUCCAUCUCUUACUUUAACUCUCCGUGUGACUGAGUCUCGUUUCCUCAUCUGUAUAAUGGAGAAACCAAUACCUCCACGUCUGAGGCGUGGAGAGAAUCAAAUAAGACUAAAAAGAACUUUUAUAAAGGUCAAAGAUAUAUACUCUCAUUGCAGGGGUCCUAGUUUUAGCUCAAGCUGGAGGACUGCACCAGCCUGGAGUUGAUGGGCCCAGAGGGGGGGCGCUGGAAGAUGGGAAGAACUGAGAUCAGCCCUGGGAAGGUGAGCAGGGAGGACUGCCCGAGGCCCGGUGGUGCCCAAGCCUAGGCCCUUGGAUUUGUCUGACUCCGGCGGUGGA